ensembl:lincRNA
UGCCGGCAUUCGCUCCGCCUGCGGGCGUUAGGAGCCGGACGCCUUCUCGGGUCAGUGCUGAAGACAGCUCCGCUCCCUGUCACCGCAGGACAGGGAGAAGAAGCCCCUCAGGUCCACGGCCUCAGAAGUCCGGGACCUGCAGAGGGGAAGCUCAGCUCUGGCCGGCCGGGACCUCGGCGCAAGGCAGCGCCUGCGCAGCUUCCCGGACCCAAACGCGCGGGAAGACCUGCGUGUGGAAGUUCGGCACGGCAGCUGCCGAAUCCCAAAACGGGGCCGCGGCGGCCUCUGCGGAACGCAUCCACAGAACACACCACGCCUGCAAAAAUGUCGAGCCUUCUCAUUCGAAGAUGUUCUAAUACCGAGGCAAAAAGAGAAAGCGCCCUAAAUAGAAUACUAAUAUCAACAAAAGAAUAAGGUUUCCAGAAGUGAAUUCUCAGCCCCUGACAAGGGAACGACCACGACCAAAGCCAACACCCCCAAGUUUCAACCCGCCCAUGGAGACUGGACUGUACCCACUGCCACUGAGAACCUCUGCCUAGGACUUAUUUCUGAGGAAAGCAAGUAAUUCUAAUACAGAAAAUUUUUUCUUCACAUUUAGGCACACUGUGAGCGAAACACUUGGGGAAACGUAAAACUGAGUUAGGCCACACCAUCAUCCUUUGGUAUCAAAGGAGAAUUCUUCUAGGACCCUUGACGAGGCAAUCUAAGGCGGCUCAUUGGAAAGCGAGGCAGUAUUUCGUGUAACCUACACACAUCCUCAUGUGUGUUGAAAUUAUCUCUUGGUUUUUAAAAUAAUGCCCGUAAAUCAUUAUGCUGUAUUGUUUGGAUAAUGGUGACAAGAAAAAUGUCAAUAUAUAUUCAAUAUGAAUGCACCUCCCAGUGUUUUCCAGAUAACAGUUGGUUAAGGAUAUAGAAUCCAAGAGUCCAGAAGGCCUGCUGUAUUCCAGUCUUCCAGAAGUUUGCAGUCUAGUGACAGAAGGAAACAAAGGAGCCUAAAAAUGGGUGAGAGGAGAUCAAGAAGCCAUAGACCCUUCAGGGAUCUGGGCCUAUGAUGAAGACAACUUUACAUUUCUUUCUGUCUAUCCCUGUCUCUCUUCUUCUCGUUCUCCCUCUCCUCCUUCCCUCCCAUCGCCCCUCCUGUCCUCCUUUUCCUCCUCUUCUUUGACACCAGUUCAUGGUCUCCUCCUCUCAAUAAGCUGUCUUCCUGGUUCACUGGCAAUGCCAGCAGCCCACAGUCCUCUCAAUUCAGGGUCAGGCCUGCAAGGCAGUUUUGUUCAGGAAAGCAAUUUCAGUAGCACAGUGCUGAGAAGUGUCCUUGGCUGAAUUGCUGCCAAUUAUUUGGUAUCCCUGUACAAAGCAAGACUGUUACCACCACUUGAAAAACACUGCUGCAGACUUUAAGCAAUAUGCAUAUAUGUUUAGCGUGGCAGAUUGUGCCAGCCCACAUAAAUCUGUUUGGAGAUCAUGCUCACAGAGUAACUUGUUUUUAUUAAAAUAAACUCAUUUAUAAAAAUUGUAAAUAUGGCUGAUUUCAACAGCUGCGUAGCUCCAGAAGUAAGUUUAUACCCAUGGAUUGGCAGCAUGAAGAGUCUGCACUUUUUUAAUGCAUAUGUUUUACAGUUUGUCAUACAUAAACUAGUAUGGCAACCUCAGUACUGUUAGGGAUGAGAAGUUGUUCAGCAGGUUUUCAAAAGCAUACCACUUUUGCUCUUCAGAGCCUCUUCCACCUUUGAAACAGC